UUUACUGUUGUCUCUUGCUUGGUUCAGUCUCUAUAAGUACACAAACCCUCAACUACACUCAACUGACUACUGCUUUUACAUCUACAGCUGUAAAGCAAGAUUUUACUGUUGUGUGAAAGAGAGCAUGCUUGCUUCAGUCUCUACAAAUACUUCAUCAAGCUCAACACUCUACAAUCACUCAACUCAGACGAAUUAAACUUUCAAAUUAAUAUAUUGACUCUUUGCAUCUGGAUCUUGCGUUGUUUCUCGGCUCUCACAUCAAGGUUUCACAUUUUUUGUCGGCUUUUUACAUCUGCCUCUUGCAUUAUUGUAAGUUCUUCCAAAUUUCUUGGUUUUUUGAUCUGUAUUGUUUAACUGCCUCUUUGUUUUUUUGGGCUGUUGAUUAUGAAAUUCAUUAGUAUUACAAUAUGAGAUGUAAAAAUUCUUUAAUUCAGGAAUAAGUUAUUAUAAUAUGUACCAUUUGGUCACAAAAA